rnacentral:rRNA from 1 species
CACGUAGUUAGCCGGUGCUUUUUCUGCAGGUACCGUCACUUUCGCUUCUUCCCUACUAAAAGAGGUUUACAACCCGAAGGCCGUCAUCCUUCACGCGGCGUUGCUGCAUCAGGCUUUCGCCCAUUGUGCAAUAUUCCCCACUGCUGCCUCCCGUAGGAGUCUGGGCCGUGUCUCAGUCCCAGUGUGGCCGGUCACCCUCUCAGGCCGGCUACCCGUCGUCGCCUUGGUGAGCCAUUACCUCACCAACUAGCUGAUAGGCCGCGAGUCCAUCCUUGACCAAAAUUCUUUCCAACUCCUAGCCAUGCGGCUGAAGCUCGUAUCCGGUAUUAGACGCCAUUUCUAGCGCUUAUCCCAGAGUCAAGGGCAGGUUACUCACGUGUUACUCACCCGUUCGCCACUAAUUCCUGGAGCAAGCUCCAGUUCAUCGUUCGACUUGCAUGUGUUAAGCACGCCGCCAGCGUGUCCUCGAGCACGGAGUCAACUAC